rnacentral:misc_RNA from 1 species
GAUGAAGAACGUAGCGAAAUGCGAUAAGUAGUGUGAAUUGCAGAAUUCAGUGAAUCAUCGAAUCUUUGAACGCACAUUGCGCCCCUUGGUAUUCCAUGGGGCAUGCCUGUUCGAGCGUCAUUUGUACCCUCAAGCUAUGCUUGGUGUUGGGUGUUUGUCCUGAGGGACUCGCCUUAAAGUAAUUGGCAGCCAGUGUUUGGUUUUGAAGCGCAGCACAAGUCGCGAUUCAAAGCUAUACGCCCGCUUCCACAAGCCUUUUUCACUUUUGACCUCGGAUCAGGUAGGGAUACCCGCUGAACUUAAGCAUAUCAUGAGCGGAGGA